rnacentral:lncRNA from 1 species
AGCGGUUCUGUCCAGAAGCAGAUUCUAAAACUAUGUUACAGUGUUUGAAACAAAACAAGAACAGUGAAUUGAUGGACCCCAAGUGCAAACAGAUGAUCACCAAGCGUCAGAUCACCCAGAACACAGAUUACCGUUUAAACCCCGUGCUAAGGAAGGCCUGUAAAGCUGACAUUCCUAAAUUCUGUCAUGGCAUCCUGACCAAGGCCAAGGAUGAUUCAGAGCUAGAAGGCCAAGUUAUCUCAUGCCUCAAGCUGAGAUACGCUGACCAGCGCCUGUCUUCAGACUGUGAGGAUCAGAUCCGUAUCAUCAUCCAAGAGUCUGCGCUAGAUUACCGCCUAGACCCUCAGCUCCAGCUGCACUGCUCAGACGAGGUAGGCUUUGGGUGCAAAGGAGAGUUUCCCCAAAGAGGUGACAGAAGAAAGCUCUAUACUGCACUUUCUUCCCAACAUGGGGUUACUUAAAGGCCUGUCUUGUAGGGAAGACUUCCAGGUUCUGCAUAACACUGAACCAGACUUGGUUUGUUACACGACAGUACUGCCUCCCUGCUCUACUAUCGAAUAAACAUAUGCUUUUAUAAUU